AACCCGCUUCUUCCUCUUUGAAGACCGAAAGAAACGGGAAAAGGAAGAGGCUUUACGAGAGUGGGCGAGUCGGGUCGGGUAAGAAAAGGUUAAUCGGUUCAUAGAAUUGGGUCGAUAUAGAAGUACGGUAUUCGUCACCCACAUGAUCGGAGAGCUAGACUAGACGGAAGAGAGAGAAAUACGUCGGCGAAGCGAAAAUAAUAAAAUUUGAGGCGACGGAAAAUAAUAAACUUGUAAGCACGUGACACUCACGUGCUCAAAUACUGAGUGAUUUCCUUUUUAGGAAUGUGACAAGUUUAGGCACUUUUAGAAAAUUUUAUUCCAUUUGAGGCACUUUGCAGAGAUGAGGCAUUUUUUCAACUUUUUCAUCGAAUUUAUGACAAAUUUGCCCCUAAAAGUGAAAACGAAAAUACUUUAGCGUUUGGAAGUUGGUAUAUGAUGAGUGGGUCGUUGGAUGGAAGUUGUAACUAUUAUCAGAUUAUAUAUAUAAUUUAAUUACUCAAAAAAGUAUAAUGAAUAUUCUUUCUCUAUUUGUACUUUUUUUCUUCGUCUUCUUCAUCGUCUACUUCUUUUUUCUUCAUCGACUCUUCUUUUCUUUCUUUAUCUAUCUCUUUCUUCAUCUUUCAGUCUUUCCUUGCAAAAUCAAACAUGAGAGACUUUGUCAAAAUCGUGUAGCUUCUAUAUUUCCCUUUACAGAGAAGCCUCUCUAGAUUUAAGUGACGAUUAGGCUUAUUCGAUUGGUUUCGGAGCGGCAGCGCUUGUGACUAACGACGGAAGCUUGAGUGUAUCAGACAAUAACAUCUAGAGGUGAAAGAAGAAAAUUUUUGUUCCCUCAAUCUUACAACCAAUCGAUCCAGGUUUUGCGAUGAUUCUUCAAUUCUACGAAUAGAAUUUAGAGUUUUGUUAGAUUGUGUAAAUAUCUGAUUCAUAUUAGCGAAAUUGUGCUUGUGAAGACGAUGAGAUCGGUUGCAGAUCGAAAGUUCCUCUUUCCUUACUCUCCUUUGUUUCAGAUCUGUAGCAAGAAGGCGACGAGAGAGGCGGUGAUAACGUAACGUGGGACGUUACUCGACUUACUUAAUUUGGAUUUUGAAAUUCCACCUGAGAAUUUGAACUCUCUCCCGAAAAAGAAGAAGAAAUGGCAGCGUACAUGGAAGAGAUUCCGUGAGAACAAAAAUUGUUCGGAGUAACCUCGAUAUUACGGGGUUACGGAGAAGCGAGGUCCUCGUUACUCUGUUCUAUUCCAUGGAGCACCAGAUUAGCAAAUUCCAGUAUUGAAUUUCAUAUCCAUAUGAUCAGCUUGUUUGGUACCAUUUGAUUCUAGUUUGAUAAAUUGAUGUCUCGUUGAACCUCUAAGCUAAGAGCACUUUACUUCGCACAUGAGAAUACAUCAUUUCCACAUGGUCACAUCUUGUUGGACAAGUUUUCAUGGACACAAACUAUCAAAGCAUCCAACACGAUUUCAUUAUGUAUAAACUAAUAAUCCUAUAGGUCUCCAAGCCCCAAGAACAAUAUGUAGACAUUGCUUUCAAAUAGCAACACUCAAAAUCCAAUUAGUUAAUGAUAGUUUGUAUCCAUUAUAACUUGUCCAAUUAAACUUUAACAUGUGGAGUAAUGGUGAAACAUGACAAACACUUGAACACAAAUGAUUCAUAUGUAGAGCGUUCAUCAAUUUUUUAUCGAAUGAAAAAGAGUGUCAUGAUGAUGCAAGAAUCACAACUUAGUCAAAACAAAUCAUGCGUCUUUUUCUUAUUCAACAGAGUAUCCACAAUAACAAUACAUUACUUACACAAAAGAACGAGACCCAUCAAACAUGCUUUCAUAUAAAGACAAAACCAUACCAACUAAAACCCAAAAUCUUAUUAACAUGCUUUCUUUCACGUAUUCUUUUCUCUGCAUUUGUUAUUCUUACAGAUCCAUAAUAAUGUGUCCAUUUCAAAUGUGUUCAUACGGAAUCUUGUUUACUAAGCAUAUCCAUUAUACACCAAAGUUAAUG
rnacentral:sRNA from 1 species